rnacentral:tRNA from 1 species
CUUUUUGGAGCAUGAAAAUAUGCCUUCCGCUUACAACGGAAAGAUCUCGCUUCUGUGAGCAUAAAGA